rnacentral:tRNA from 1 species
AGGAGUUUAGGUUACACAGACCAAGAGCCUUCAAAGCUCUAAGCAAGUAGAUCAUACUUAACCCCUGC